AUUGAACGCUGGCGGCAUGCUUUACACAUGCAAGUCGAACGGUAACAGGGUGCUUGCACCGCUGACGAGUGGCGAACGGGUGAGUAAUGCGUCGGAACGCACCGAGUAAUGGGGGAUAACGCAGCGAAAGCUGUGCUAAUACCGCAUACGCUCUGAGGAGGAAAGCGGGGGACCUUCGGGCCUCGCGUUAUUCGAGCGGCCGACGUCUGAUUAGCUAGUAGGUGAGGUAAGAGCUCACCUAGGCGACGAUCAGUAGCGGGUCGGAGAGGAUGAGCCGCAACACUGGGAGUGAGACACGGCCCAGACUCCUACGGGAGGCAGCAGUGGGGAAUUUUGGACAAUGGGCGCAAGCCUGAUCCAGCCAUGCCGCGUGUCUGAAGAAGGCCUUCGGGUUGUAAAGGACUUUUGUCAGGGAGGAAAUCCUUAGCGCUAAUACCGUUGAGGGAUGACAGUACCUGAAGAAUAAGCACCGGCUAACUACGUGCCAGCAGCCGCAGUAA
rnacentral:rRNA from 1 species